rnacentral:rRNA from 1 species
GUCGAACGCACCUUCGGGUGAGUGGCAGACGGGUGAGUAACACGUGGGAACCUUCCCAAUAGUACGGAAUAACUCCGGGAAACCGGUGCUAAUACCGUAUACGCCCUCAGGGGGAAAGAUUUAUCGCUAUUGGAUGGGCCCGCGUCGGAUUAGCUAGUUGGUGAGGUAAUGGCUCACCAAGGCGACGAUCCGUAGCUGGUCUGAGAGGAUGAUCAGCCACACUGGGACUGAGACACGGCCCAGACUCCUACGGGAGGCAGCAGUAGGGAAUCUUGGACAAUGGGCGAAAGCCUGAUCCAGCCAUGCCGCGUGAGUGAAGAAGGCCCUAGGGUUGUAAAGCUCUUUUGGCGGGGACGAUAAUGACGGUACCCGCAGAAUAAGCCCCGGCUAACUUCGUGCCAGCAGCCGCGGUAAUACGAAGGGGGCUAGCGUUGUUCGGAAUUACUGGGCGUAAAGCGCACGCAGGCGGAUUUAUAAGUCAGGGGUGAAAUCCCGGGGCUCAACCUCGGAAUUGCCUUUGAUACUGUCUAU